rnacentral:rRNA from 2 species
GCAGCAACGCCGCGUGGGGGAAGAAGGCCUUCGGGUUGUAAACCCCUUUCAGUUGGGACGAAGCUUCGAGGGUUAAUAGCUCUCUGGAGUGACGGUACCUUCAGAAGAAGCCCCGGCUAACUACGUGCCAGCAGCCGCGGUAAUACGUAGGGGGCUAGCGUUGUCCGGAAUCAUUGGGCGUAAAGCGCGUGUAGGCGGUCCGGUAAGUCCGCUGUGAAAGUCGGGGGCUCAACCCUCGGAUGCCGGUGGAUACUGUCGGGCUUGAGUACGGAAGAGGCGAGUGGAAUUCCUGGUGUAGCGGUGAAAUGCGCAGAUAUCAGGAGGAACACCAAUUGCGAAGGCAGCUCGCUGGGACGUUACUGACGCUGAGACGCGAAAGCGUGGGGAGCAAACAGGAUUAGAUACCCUGGUAGUCCACGCUGUAAACGAUGGGCACUAGGUGUGGGGGGUGUCGACUCCCUCCGUGCCGAAGCUAACGCAUUAAGUGCCCCGCCGGGGGAGUACGGCCGCAAGGCUAAAACUCAGAGGAAUUGACGGGGGCCCGCACAAGCAGCGGAGCAUGUGGUUUAAUUCGACGCACCGCGAAGAACCUUACCUGGGCUUGACAUGUUCCUGACCGUCCUGGAAAC